rnacentral:rRNA from 1 species
GACGAACGCUGGCGGCGUGCUUAACACAUGCAAGUCGAACGGUGAAGCGCCUUCCUUUUUGGUGGGUGUGGAUGAGUGGCGAACGGGUGAGUAACACGUGAGUAACCUGCCCCCUUCUUCUGGAUAACCGCAUGAAAGUGUGGCUAAUACGGGAUAUUCUGGGUCUGUCGCAUGAUGGGUCUGGGAAAGAUAUUGUUUCGGUGGGGGAUGGGCUCGCGGCCUAUCAGCUUGUUGGUGGGGUGAUGGGCUACCAAGGCGGUGGCGGGUAGCCGGCCUGAGAGGGUUGACGGUCAGGCUGGGGCUGAGGCACGGCCAAGACUGCAACGGGACGCAGCAGUGGGGACUACUGGAGGAUGGGGGGAAGACUGAUGCAGCGACGGCGAGUGAGGGAUGGAGGCCUUCGGGUUGUGAACCUCUUUCGCCAGUGAAGCAGGCCUGCCUCGUUUGUGGGUGGGUUGACGGUAGCUGGAUAAGAAGCGCCGGCUAACUACGUG